GCCUUGAUAGCAUUAUUGGUUAAUGCGUCUGUGAAACGCUUAGCGAGAUUGCUUCGCAGGAGACGCUGGUUCGAUUCCGGCUCGGGGCU